AUCCUUUCUCGUUUCAAUAUGUCUGCACUUUUUUGGCGCAGUAUCAACAGGCGGAAGAAACAACAAACCGUAGCUUUGCUGAGACUUUGCUGCCCGGAGUAAAGCCUUUCAGCUCAAGCUUCCACUCACAGUCUUUCCAGUGAGUGAACACAACAAGAAGACAUUUUGGACACAGUUCUGUGAUGGCAGUGCUGCACCACUAGAGGGCAGAGUUCCAUAACAACAGGAUCGACCCCAGCGCCCUCCUCAGCUCAACUUCAGUUCCGAAGGUUUUUGCAUUCCCGAUAUUUUGUGCCAUUAUUCAGUAUUUUAACAUUUCCAUGCCAAAAUAAAUCCUCCCCCAUAUUAUAAGCACUGCAUGGGUUUUGUUUUAGCCCAGAUUUGAAUUCUUGAUAGGAUGGAAAAGCCACACUCAAAAACUUCACAAAGGUUUCCACUGACACCACUGACAACCAGUGCAGUGUUGGCAUUUUAUACAACACUGGUUGGUCAGUAUCACAUUUUUAAUAAAAAAAAGGCAAAUAUCAGCCAAAUAUGCUGCUUAGCUGAUAUGUCAGUCAACACCGUUCAGCCACAUGUUUCACAAACACAUCGGUUAAGCCACCACACAUCAACAGCAGUAAUUCUAUGAAAUAUUAUGUGUAUAGAGGAAGUUAUUACAAAUGGUGUAUGUGUUUUAUGUGCUUGUGUGUGUGUGUGUGUGUGUGUGUCACUUUAGCUCAUUACGAGGCUCCUCGGAACAGAUUCUCUUAACUGCAUAAUUAGUUCUGGUGACUUGUGAAAAAAGAUUAGAAUGAUCCUCCUUUUGUGAAUAGUUUUAUGACCAAACCUGACAACAGUUAAAUGACUCCCCUGGGGCUUUUAUGUCACGUGAACCGAGACGUAACAAUGCUCUUUCAUAACAGUGACUCAUUUUUGAGGCAGUGAAAAAAAUGUCUAAAAUUGUCUCUCAACAGUCUGCUGGGACAUCUGAGUGUCAUAUGGUGAAACUCCUUCUCAUGUUUGGACAAAUUACUUCAAACUUUUAACAAGCAGAGCCCUUCUAGCUGUGUUGAAAUGGCCGACACCAAUUAUUCACGUACGGUUGAGAGCAGUAGGUACAGCUGUAGCCUCGCUCUGAUGCAGACAAAUGUCUUGUCAAUGUGUCAGUUCAUCACAUCAUGCUGUGAUAUUUUCUAAAUGGGCUACAUCUUUCUGUCAAGUACGAUUUUCUGUCAUCUGUUUUUCUCCUCACUGUGGUGUCUGCUCUGCCCACACCGCUGUUCUGUCUGUAUUUGUUCACUUCAGCCAAAUUGACAGAAAAACUGGAAUGCAUCUCUUGUGUCUGUUGAUAUUAGAAUUAGACUGAUCUGAAUCAGCUGAUGUUGCAGUGUUGCAGAGAUUCCCUCCCGCUCAAAAAGAGCACGCUGCUAAUCCUAAAAAAAGAUCACCCUGCAUCAAAAGGAGCAGUUUUAGUCACAUGCGUGUAACUGCUGUUUCACUGGCUUUUCAAACAUGACAACAAUAAAAUAUAAGUGGCACUCUAUCCCUGUAAGUUUCUAGAACAUCUUGAGUAGGAAACAGUCCAAUGUGUCCUGCAGACUGGCAGGAAAUAUAAGAAAGCAGCAACUUCAGAGGAACAAUUUUGGUGUCAGUGUCAGAAUUGAUUAAACCGUAUCAGUUCAAUUUUAUGUAGGACAUGGUGAGGGUUUAAAAAGUAACACCAGUCUCAGUGAUCUAUAACAUAUUGAUUUGCUUUCAUUUAAUAUUAUGAUGAAAUUGUUGAAUUGUCUUGUAAAGAUAAACUGCACUGAAUGUAUGCAUUUAUGUGGUUUGAAUUUCCUUCUUUGUAAAUUUCCUGAAGGUCAUCUCACGUGGUGCAGUUUCAGAACCUUGGUGUGUUUUAGGGUUCACAAAUGUAGAAAACUGAAGAGGGCUGCGGGUUACGGCGUAGCGUCCGGUCGGACUGAAAUGCAAGAGGAACAAGUGUUCCUGGUAGCCCAGAUAUUAAAGUGUGAAUUUUUCUGAAUCUUAAAUUUUGGCUUCUGGAAAUUGACCUUCAGGAAAUUUUAAAGAGAGAAACUUAAAUCACAUCCAUCCGGAAAGAUGGUUUUCAAAGGAAAUUAUUUCCAUUAAAUUAAUUCUGUGGUAUUUAAAUGUCAACAUUAAAGGCAGCCUGUGGAGUUUUCAUGAAAACGAACAAAGUUCUAUUUACAUUCAGUGUUUCUUUGUGUGUAUUCUCGAAGCCUAACAAACGUGAUGAAUGUAUUUCCUUUCUCAUAAAACAUUUGCAAAGCUGAUUUAAUAAAAAAAAAGAGUGCAUUGUUUA